CAAUUAUUCAGAUGUUGAGUUUUGGGGAAAAGCAAACCCUCACUUCCUAGUGACCAGUCAGGCGGCCAGGCCCUGCCAGCCCCAGGAACCCAAUAACUGCGACCGUCUGUUUCCACAGCGGCCCACCAGGCUGGCAGCGCUUCUCGCCUUUGCCUCCUGAUUCUGCAGUAAUUAGAAAUAGCAGUCCUCGCCACGUUGCGCUCCCCGGAGCACCCGGCUGGAUGCGCCGAACACAUGUAGCUGCGAGACCACCUGCCAGGAAGAGAAUAGAAGAAUCAUUUGCUGAACAUGGCAGGGGUGAUGGCUAAGGGGAUGAGCCGCUGCAUAGCAAAUAGCCGCCCCAUCUUCCCCAAAGCCCUAAAUAAUUUCUCCACUUGAAAAAAAAAAGAGAAAAUACACGAUUAAUUUUUCAUGUAGAUCAUCCCACUUGGAAGCGUAGGGAAGGGCUGCCGCAUACUAAGAGCCAAGCUUGAGCUUCCAAGUCACUGGCUAAGACACAGCCAGGGAGAGGGCGGAAAAAAGAAAACCCGUGGUGUCUACUUGUGGCGAGUGGUGCCUGCGGGGAAGGCACAGAAAGGAGGGCUCCUGCUUGCUCUCUCUCGCCUUUUAGGGUCCUGCUUCAGGCCCUGCAUGGUCCCGUCCACUAUCACAUUUGGUGCCAUAACACUGAGGGUUGGGUCGUCUUCUUUUUCUACACGAGGAAACCGAGACGCGGGGCAAUGGGGCCCAGAGGAGGCCCAGCAGGAUUUCAAGCCCAGCACCCACUUGCCUCCCGCACACCCACCACCACCGGCCGAGUCCCAGCAGGUAUUCAGGGAACCGCUGGGUGACCAUUUGUCCAACAGUGUGGCAGGCUCGCCUUCAUUGCCACCACGUGGUCCAAUUCAGACUUCUCUGUCUACGCCUUAACUGUUUAUGGCCACCCUGAGCCCUGACCAAUGCAAAGCAAAGUGGAGAGGAGCAGAGAAAGUGACUUGGAUUCCCCUUCUGAGCAUCCCUGAAUCCGAUUAGGGUCCUUCCAAUGUAAAACCCAGGCUUCCCAGAUAGCUCAGUGGUAAAGAAUCCAUCUGCGAUGCAGGAGACCCAGGUUUGAUCCCUGGGUUGGAAAGAUCUCCUGGAGAAGGAAACGGCAACCCACUCUAGUAUUCUUGCCUGGAGAAUUUCAAGGACAGAGGAGCCUGGCGGGCCACAGUCCAUGGGGUCACACAGAGUCAGAAAUGACUGAAGUGAUUCAACACACACAGCAAUGUAAAACCCAGCGCUGCUGCAGAACCUGUUACCAAGGGGAGGGAGGCUCAGAGCAUUAGCUCUGAAAUUGACCUGGCUUACGUUUCCCCCACCGCUUCACUAGCUGUAGGACUCUGGGCGAAUGGCUUAACUUCCGUAUACUUGUUUCCUAGGGCUGCUGGAACAAAAUGCUGCGGACCGGGUGGCUUAAAACAACAGAAAUGUAUUGGUUCACAGUCCCAAGACUGGAAGUUCAAAAGCAAGGUGUCAGCAGGGUCGGUUCCAUCUGAGGGCCCUGAGGAAGAAUCUGGGCCAGCCUCUUCCCAAAUUGUUGGUGUUUUUCCAGCUGUUGCCAGUGUGCUGGGACUUGGAGCGAAUGCAGUUUUGGUGUGUCCAUGGGAGGAGACAAGCUCAGGAUGCUCUACUCUGCCAUCUUGAUCUGGAACUUAUUUUGUUUCUUAAGCACCGUAAGCCUGUGACCUUCUCAAAACCUCUGUACAUACCUGAUGCUUAGAACGUCUCUCCAAGGUCUCCACUCUUUCUCGUCAUUCAGAUCUGAGUUCAAAUGCCACUCGCCUCCCUAGAGAGUCCCUCCCUGACCUCCUUAUCCCUGUCACCAACCCCAGUCACAUUUUAUCCCAUCAUCCAAUUGUCAUUUCUUCACAGAGAUUAUCUGGUUUUAUCUUGAUAGUUUAUGGGCUUACUUAGUUAUUUUCAACCUACUCUCCACAGGACAUAAGCCUCAUGAUAGCAAAGACCUUAUUUGUCUUACUUACCCUGAUGCCCUCUAUGCCCAGAGCAAAGCCUGAUAUAUCACAGAUGCUACUAAAUAUUGACAGAAGGAAUACAUCUAUG
ensembl:lncRNA